rnacentral:rRNA from 1 species
CAGUCGCCGCGGGAAUACAGAGGGUGCAAGCGUUAAUCGGAAUUACUGGGCGUAAAGCGUGCGUAGGCGGCUUGUUAAGUUGGAUGUGAAAUCCCUGGGCUUAACCUGGGAAUUGCAUUCAAAACUGGCAAGCUAGAGUAGGGGAGAGGAUGGUGGAAUUUCAGGUGUAGCGGUGAAAUGCGUAGAUAUAUGAAGGAACACCAAUGGCGAAGGCAACCAUCUGGCCUCAUACUGACGCUGAGGUACGAAAGCAUGGGGAGCAAACAGGAUUAGAUACCCGCGUAGUCCCUGUCUCUUAUAA